GCCGGGCGUGGUGGCAGGUGCCUGUAGUCCCAGCUACUCGGGAGGCUGAGGCAGGAGAAUGGCGUGAACCUGGGAGGCGGAGCUUGCAGUGAGCUGAGAUCGUGCCACUGCAGUCCAGCCUGGGUGACAGAGCGAGACUCCAUCUCAAAAAAAAAAAAAUUUUGAGAUGGAGUUUUGCUCUUGUUGCCCAGGCUGGAGUGCAAUGGCGCGAUCUCGGGCUCACUGCCAACUCUACCUCCCGGGUUCAAGCGAUUCUCCUGCCUCA
rnacentral:sRNA from 1 species